GUGAGGAAUAUUGGACAAUGGGCGCAAGCCUGAUCCAGCCAUGCCGCGUGCAGGAAGACGCAUCUAUGGUGUGUAAACUGCUUUUGUACGGGAAGAAACACUCCCUCGUGAGGGAGCUUGACGGUACCGUAAGAAUAAGGAUCGGCUAACUCCGUGCCAGCAGCCGCGGUAAUACGGAGGAUCCAAGCGUUAUCCGGAAUCAUUGGGUUUAAAGGGUCCGUAGGCGGUUUAAUAAGUCAGUGGUGAAAGCCCAUCGAUCAACGAUGGAACGGCCAUUGAUACUGUUAGAAGUGAAUUACAAGGAAGUAACUAGAAUAUGUAGUGUAGCGGUGAAAUGCUUAGAUAUUACAUGGAAUACCAAUUGCGAAGGCAGGUUACUACUUGUGGAUUGACGCUGAUGGACGAAAGCGUGGGGAGCGAACAGGAUUAGAUACCCUGGUAGUCC
rnacentral:rRNA from 1 species